rnacentral:lncRNA from 1 species
GACGAUGGACGUCUAUAAUAAUAAGGUUUAAUAAACUGUCUCCUUAAGUCUCUAUAGCAUUCACAUUGUAAAACAAAAUGGAAUUCAUCUUCAGUGAUAUUCAAAGUACAAAGAGUACACUUUCUAUCUAACCUAUUUACUCCAUGAUAACGGCCUACCUCAACAAACAAAUUAUGAGAAGACAAUCUAAGGCGAGUUAAUUACACUCUAAAAUUCA